rnacentral:rRNA from 1 species
UACGGAAGGGGCAAGCGUUGUUCGGAAUUAUUGGGCGUAAAGCGCGUGCAGGCGGCCUUGCAAGUCGGACGUGAAAUCCCACGGCUCAACCGUGGAAGUGCAUUCGAAACUGCGAGGCUGGAGUCCUGGAGAGGAAAGUGGAAUACUCGGUGUAGAGGUGAAAUUCGUGGAUAUCGAGUGGAACACCGGUGGCGAAGGCGGCUUUCUGGACAGGUACUGACGCUGAGACGCGAAAGCGUGGGGAGCAAACAGG